AGCGCUAAUGACGGAGCAGUGUGCAGAGGAGUGAAUGCCCCAUGUUGUGUUAGUGCCUGUCUGCCAUGCUGGCCUGUCUGCCAGGACCAGGUGACCUCUCCUUUCAGCUUCUUUCUUACACGCAGAUGAACACUGGACUUCAGAAAUGGGACACUACACAGAAAAUGAGAUCUGCACAGUAUCCUACCCCAGCAGAAUUGGAUGCUUAUGCUAAGAAGGUCGCCAACAAUCCACUGACUAUAAAAAUUUUUCCAAACAGUGUCAAGGUUCCCCAGAGGAAACACAUACGCCGUACUGUGAACGGACUUGAUACUUCGGGCCAGAGGUACAGUCCUUACCCAUCUCAGGCCACCACGAAAACAGGCCUCCUGGCAAUAGUCAAAUCUCCAGCGAAAGGAAUUAUCAAAGACUUUGACGGGACACGCACGCGUCUGCUGCCGGAAGCGAUGAUGAAUCCCCCUUCCACACCAUACGUUGCACCUAGCACUUUAACCCACCCCCAGGCGCUUGCUCGCCAGCAGGCUCUCCAGCAUGCACAGACUUUGCCGCACCCCCAGAGUAUACCGCAGCCACAGACUUUGCAGCACCCUCAGGGUAUACCACAGCCACAAAGCUUACCGCACCCUCAGGGGAUCCCGCAGCCGCAGACGCUGCCGCACCCUCAGAAUAUGCAGCAGCCGCAGGGCUUGCAGCAUCCUCAGACCAUGGCACACCAGACUCUGCAGCACCCCCCGAAUCCUUUGCUGCAGCCAGGUUUACAUGGAAGCAGAAAGAUGCCGGAUGCAGAUGCGCCGCCGAAUGUGACCGUGUCUACCUCAACCAUUCCCCUCUCUCUGCCUGCCACCCUGCAGCAGAACCAGCCACCGGACCUGAGCAGCAUUGUGCACCAGAUUAACCAGUUCUGCCAGGCCAGAGCUGGCAUUAGCACUACCUCAGUAUGUGAGGGACAGAUUGCAAACCCCAGCCCUAUAAGUCGCAACCUGCUUAUCAAUGCAAGUACCAGGGUAUCUACUCACAAUGUCCCUACACCCAUGCCUUCCUGUGUAGUAAACCCUGUAGAUCAUGCUGCUGCUGCUAUUCCUCCUGCCUCUGUUAAUGUGCCCAUGGUGAAUAUUAACAGGGUGCCGCCCGCGUACCAGAAUGAAAUCAAAUCGGUUGCGUGGAACCAGCACCAGCUUGCACAUCUGCAGCAAAUGUGUGGGGAUGCUGCUGGGCCUGCUGGACUCGCAGGGAAGCACCCUCAGAGAGAGAUCGCAGGGCAGAAUUUUCCUGGCAAAACUUCUAACUACCCUCAAGAACUGUGCAUGGGCCAGUCAUUCAGCUUGAAGCCCCCCAUCGAGAAGCCUACGCCUUCUCCACCUGUGAACGGGUUGCAGGGACCCUUGCCAUAUACCAAUGGGCACUAUUUCCAGCCCAUCUGGAAUAACAUUCUGCCCACACCCAACAGUGACAGCUCUGGGUCCCAGGACCUCGCCAUGCCUUUCCACGGGGGACAGCCAGCAGGAGCGCCGCUAGAUUGUGCAGGAGGAACUCAUUACAGAGCUGGAGCUGGCCCAUCCAGCCAGAAUAAUGUGAUGCAGACCAUGGAUUACCUAAGCGGGGACUUCCAGCAGUCCUGCUUCAGAGAUCAGAGCAUGGCCGUGCUGGGGAAAGUCCAUCGGCCUCCCAUGAACCGAGCACCUGAACCAACCGAUAGUCGAAAUCUUCAUAUUCAACACCCAGGGUAUAGAUAGGCUGCAGUCACUUUCACAGACAAAAAAAUUAGAGGUUUAGUCUUAAUUUUAAUUAAUAAGCAAGGCAUUUUUAACUUGCAAACUUGUGUGAUCAUUAUAGUAACCAUUGGAAGAAGACAUACUGUAUAUUUAAAAGCUUUGCUUACAUGUUAUCUAUCUCCUUUAUGCAUCAAAUAUUUAACAUGCCUUUUGUUUCAAAGAAUUUCAUUACACUACUUCACGCCACAGCUGUUUCCUCACCGCAAAAUCCCCUUUGUGCAGCUUUUGCCUUCUGCUUAGUAGCUACUUGCUGGACCGAUGUUGAGUUGCUGCAGGGUUUCGCAGUUGCAUCUGUUCGCCAGCUCCGUAACGAGUGAGGUAGCGUAGCUGCUUGAAUUUCCAUCUCAAUUUCCUCUGAAGAUUAAGAGCAACAGAAUUUGUCAGGAAGCAGGGCUUAUUUUCAACUCGAAAGCCCGUUUCAUUAAUGCAUUAAACAUUGACCGUUUGCACUGUCUGGAGGCCUAUUUAAUUGAAAAAGAAGCCUACGUUUGAAAAGAGCUAGCUAGGGGUAUGUAUGUAGGCAUUAAAUAGGAAGAAGCUUUUCAGCCGUUUCUUGCUGAGACGCCCACGUUUAUCGUUCAGACUUUGUCCAAAGUUGAAAGUCUCUGGCAGAUUUUUUGACACCUUUUGUUUUGUUUUUUUUUUCCGUUUUUGGGGGUUUUUUGCAGGCAGGGUAUGGAGGAGGGGGGAAGGGCAGUUUUAGGACGUAGGCAGCAUAGCUGCCGUAGGUAGCUGCCUUUUUUCUGCAUCAUAUUUCCCUUCCCCGCUCCCCUUUUGCCAGCGUAAGAGCUAACUUUGUCUGAACCCCUCGCUGCUACGAGUCUGGCCGUCCUGAUCUGAAGGGAAUCCAGACCCACUGACAACUCCAAAAAGGGUUCAGCCGCUUCUCUGGUAGCUAGAAUUAAUUUCAGGGCAAGGAGAUGUAACUCAAGCACGUCUCCGGUGCAAUGAGCGGGCGCAUGGGGCGGCGGGGCCCGGUUCCGUUCCAGCAGCGGUCCCGAUGGGACGGGAGGCGGUUGAUCUGAAGCGAAGCUCCGCUCACGAGCCCCUGUGGGACCGACGGUCCCGUAUUCCUCUCCAUCAAAACGCCGCAGCAGAUUUAAUGGAACAAUUCUCCUCUCUGGGAAUUAGCGAAGCUAUUUAUGACAUCCCUUUUUCCCAGGGUCUCGGUGCCUAACUCCUUCUGUUCCUCUCCCACGUCACUUCCAGCAGCUAGUCGAGUCAGUGACCGUAGGACACUAACUAUCGGGUAACCUCAGCGUCUUGUUCUCCCCGGUGUACCGAAACACACGCCUUCCCUUUCGAACGGCCGAAUUUGUUCAGCCUGUUGCUGGUGGGCUCUCCUUCCUUCUGCAUCCUCCCUAAAGAGAAACGCGAAGGCUGAGCCGCUUCAUUCCCAGGUGCAACCCCUGAGAGCAAACGCCGAAUACGCUGCGUAGGCGCCCGGCGUGGGGACCCAGGCGUGGUGGCCCUGCCGCUUACCCAGGUGAUGAAGGGGAGAGCAGCUGGGGGAGAAGUGGCGGCGUGGUUGCGGCAGGAGGUGCGCUCUCCUGGGAACCUUUGCCCCCACGCAGUUCUAUUUCACACUCUGCCCGGUGCAGAAAUAAAGAGUAGCCAAAGGGGCAGGGACACACCUUCGCCCCGGGCUCUCCCCGGGACCCCGCGCCUGCCUCUGGGGCUCACUUUCUGUCUGUCUGUCUAUCUGUGGGUCGGUGGCUUCCUGACCUCUGACUCCAGCACAAGGUUUUUGUUUCCUUGAUGGAUCCUGGGCAUUUGCAGAUGGCGGUCCUGCUCCUUGAGGAAAGAAUACGGUAUUUACAGAUGUUUUCCUCAACUAUUUAUGCUGCCUCAUCCGUGCUGAAAUCUGUCCCCGGUACGGCACC